AUUUCCGCACGGGACUUCUCUUCCGCGCAGCCGCGUCGCGGCAUCUGACGAGAACCCCCGCAAAUGCCGAGUCCCCGAGCCGCAUCUGGCAGUCCACGACGGAGCGCGCCUACACUGGAAGCCGUUGUCGUCGGGGACCAGCGGCGCUGCUUUACCAAUGGUCGUGCCCUUCCUCUUCUUCUUCAGCAGCUCCGUCUCGACGCCCUCGAACUCCCCGUCGAGCCCCUACGACUCCGUGGAGUAUUCGGUCGCGGCAGUGGGGAGGCUGCUAUCGCCGCUUUCUCGGCAGCCUGGGCGACCGUAUCCACUCAACCGCCGACAACCUCUUCCACUGCCACGGUUGAUAGGAGGCAGCCGCGGUGGCACGAGGGUUGAAGGGGAGCGAGUAGAAGAGCCCACGAUGGAGGUAAAAAAGAGGAAUGUUUUAUAUUUUUACAUUUGUCGUCCUAGCCAUGAUGAGAUUGUUUUGAUUUACUUGCUUUCUGGAUGUUGAUUUAUAGAUUAAAAAAUAGAGGAUCUCAUUGGGUUUUUAGGUGUGGAGUGGAUUGAGAUUUAGCGUCGCAGUUUACACCCAUUUAGCAUAGAGCUUCAGUUGCUUCAAUUUGCUUAUCUCGGUAGUGAAGUACUGUUUGUUAAGCAUUUGCAUUUAUACAAAAGUUGUGCUGGAUUUAUAACUAUUCGUGCUUGUUGGUAGAUAUUUUUUCUCAUGCCGAAUUUUAUUCAUAGCUACUAAUCCCGUGAGGUAGCUAUUAUCAAUUUUAGAAAAAUAUGAUUUUUGUGCAUGUUUUUUUUGUAUACAAGAAAUGAGAUAUUUUCGCAUGCUUUUUAAUCAAGGUGAUAUUAAUAAAGGUGACAUUUUUGGCCGAGGUAAACUAUUCCACUUAUUCUUUUUCUUUGUAUAUGCCUAGCAAUGCUAUAAACAAUGAGAUAUUGAAAUAUUAAACUAUGUAGGAGAGAUAUCAAAUAAAAAUUUAAUACUACUACAUGUAUUCUAUGAAUAUAACAUAUGUGAUCAAUAGUUUUUUUAAAACAUGUGCGUGCCGCACGUGCUUCUCUGCUAGUUGGAACAAAAGAAAAAAGAAAAAAAAAUCAUCAGUACUCUGGUAAGUGCUUUGGGCCGGCGGGUUUGCCGAUGGGCCAUGCUCUGCUUCCUCGGCCUGGAAGCCCAACCUUUCGCCUCUGCCGCCUGCCUGCUAAUUGCUUUCUUUUUUUAUAUAUAGUUUUUCACUACACAACAACUCCAAAAUGACAAUGGGCGAACAGUCGGUAUAAGCCAUUAUACCGUUAUAUGUACACCGACAGUGGCGGGUCUAGGGCCUGGCAACCCUGGGUUAUGGUCUAGGCUCCUCUACUUUGUUUCCAUUAGUCCCAUAUAAUUAGUAGGCUAUAUAUAUUAUAAAGGUUAGGCAUAAUUUAUAGCUUACUCUACUAAAUAGCCCAAGCUUCUAAAAUUUUCUGGAUCCGCCAUUGUACACUGAUGGGUAGUUACUAGGCAGAGCUUGAGUUAACGAUGGACGGUUUGCGUCAAUCUUAUACCGACGGACGGCUCGUCAGCUAUUAUUGAUUUUUAGCGACUGAUGUCAAUUGUUAAUUUAGUGUUGUGGUGUAGUGUUCAUGGACCUUAGCAUUAAGUUUUUUUAAUAUUAUGUUGUUUCGUUCUAAAUUAUAGAUUGUUAUUCCUUUUCUA